GUCAGGAGUUCCAGUUACGUCUGUUCCGCAUUUUACAAAUGUCCCUAGAAGGUAUGCGACAACAUAAGAAAAGCCAGAAACUUAUUGUGGCCCAGUCUUUUAGAUUGCUUCAUAAAUCUCUGUAUUUCAAUCUAACAAAAAUGGCACAAGAUUGGACUAACAUGGAGAAGAACAUGGGACUUGUUUUGGAAAUAACCACAACAUCCAACAGUUCAUCAUCCCAAUGUGACCAAAUUCACUCUUUC